UACGAAGGGGGCUAGCGUUGCUCGGAAUUACUGGGCGUAAAGCGCACGUAGGCGGAUUGUUAAGUCGGGGGUGAAAUCCUGGAGCUCAACUCCAGAACUGCCUUCGAUACUGGCGAUCUCGAGUUCGGGAGAGGUGAGUGGAACUGCGAGUGUAGAGGUGAAAUUCGUAGAUAUUCGCAAGAACACCAGUGGCGAAGGCGGCUCACUGGCCCGAUACUGACGCUGAGGCGCGAAAGCGUGGGGAGCAAACGGG
rnacentral:rRNA from 1 species